rnacentral:rRNA from 1 species
CGAACGGGUGAGUAACGCGUGAGGAACUUGCCUCAAAGAGGGGGACAACAGUUGGAAACGACUGCUAAUACCGCAUAAGCCCACGGGUCGGCAUCGACCUGAGGGAAAAGGAGCAAUCCGCUUUGAGAUGGCCUCGCGUCCGAUUAGCUAGUUGGUGAGGUAAUGGCCCACCAAGGCGACGAUCGGUAGCCGGACUGAGAGGUUGAACGGCCACAUUGGGACUGAGACACGGCCCAG